ACGGGAGGCAGCAGUGGGGAAUAUUGCACAAUGGGCGCAAGCCUGAUGCAGCGACGCCGCGUGAGCGAAGAAGUAUUUCGGUAUGUAAAGCUCUAUCAGCAGGGAAGAUAAUGACGGUACCUGACUAAGAAGCACCGGCUAAAUACGUGCCAGCAGCCGCGGUAAUACGUAUGGUGCAAGCGUUAUCCGGAUUUACUGGGUGUAAGGGGAGCGUAGGCGGUUUUACAAGUCUGAUGUGAAAGCCCGGGGCUCAACUCCGGUAUUGCAUUGGAAACUGUAGAACUAGAGUGUCGGAGGGGUAAGUGGAAUUCCUAGUGUAGCGGUGAAAUGCGUAGAUAUUAGGAGGAACACCAGUGGCGAAGGCGGCUUACUGGACGAUUACUGACGCUGAGGCUCGAAAGCGUGGGGAGCAAACAGGAUUAGAUACCCUGGUA
rnacentral:rRNA from 1 species